GGGCUUGUAGCUCAGGGGUAGAGCGCUCGCUUUGCAUGCUUUACUAUGAUUGCGAGAGGUCUAGGGUUCAAAUCCCUACUGGUCCA